UACGGGGGGGGCAAGCGUUUGUUCGGAAUUACUGGGCGUAAAGGGCUCGUAGGUGGCCAACUAAGUCAGACGUGAAAUCCCUCAGCUUAACUGGGGAACUGCGUCUGAUACUGGAUGGCUUGAGUUCGGGAGAGGGAUGCGGAAUUCCAGGUGUAGCGGUGAAAUGCGUAGAUAUCGGGAAGAACACCCGUGGCGAAGGCGGUUCUCUGGGCGGUACUGACGCUGAGACGCGAAAGCGUGGGGAGCGAACAGG
rnacentral:rRNA from 1 species